rnacentral:rRNA from 1 species
CGGCGUGCCUAACACAUGCAAGUCGUACGAGAAGCCGGCUUCGGCUGGUGAGUAAAGUGGCGCACGGGUGAGUAACGCGUGGAUAAUCUGCCCUUAAGUGUGGAAUAACGUACCGAAAGGUGCGCUAAUACCGCAUAAUGCCUGGCAACACAAGUUGUCCGGCCAAAGAAGGCCUCUGUUUACAAGCUUUCGCUUCAGGAUGAGUCCGCGUACCAUUAGCUUGUUGGUGGGGUAAUGGCCUACCAAGGCUGCGAUGGUUAGCUGGUCUGAGAGGAUGAUCAGCCACACUGGAACUGAGACACGGUCCAGACUCCUACGGGAGGCAGCAGUGAGGAAUAUUGCGCAAUGGGGGCAACCCUGACGCAGCAACGCCGCGUGAGUGAGGAAGGUUUUCGGACUGUAAAGCUCUGUCGAGCGGGAAGAAGUGUACCAUGGCUAAUAUCCAUGAUAUUUGACGGUACCGCUAGAAGGAAGCACCGGCUAACUCCGUG